AGUCGAACGGUAGAGGGGGCAACCCCUUGAGAGUGGCGAACGGGUGAGUAAUAUAUCGGAACGUGCCCAGUCGUGGGGGAUAACGUAGUGAAAAUUACGCUAAUACCGCAUACGAUCUAAGGAUGAAAGCGGGGGAUCGCAAGACCUCGCGCGACUGGAGCGGCCGAUAUCAGAUUAGGUAGUUGGUAGGGUAAAGGCCUACCAAGCCAACGAUCUGUAGCUGGUCUGAGAGGACGACCAGCCACACUGGAACUGAGACACGGUCCAGACUCCUACGGGAGGCAGCAGUGGGGAAUUUUGGACAAUGGGCGAAAGCCUGAUCCAGCCAUUCCGCGUGCAGGAUGAAGGCCCUCGGGUUGUAAACUGCUUUUGUACAGAACGAAAAGGUUUCUAUUAAUACUAGGAGCUCAUGACGGUACUGUAAGAAUAAGCACCGGCUAACUACGUGCCAGCAGCCGCGGUAAUACGUAGGGUGCAAGCGUUAAUCGGAAUUACUGGGCGUAAAGCGUGCGCAGGCGGUUAUAUAAGUCAGAUGUGAAAUCCCCGGGCUCAACCUGGGAACUGCAUUUGAGACUGUAUAGCUAGAGUACGGUAGAGGGGGAUGGAAUUCCGCGUGUAGCAGUGAAAUGCGUAGAUAUGCGGAGGAACACCGAUGGCGAAGGCAAUCCCUGGACCUGUACUGACGCUCAUGCACGAAAGCGUGGGGAGCAAACAGGAUUAGAUACCCUGGUAGUCCACGCCCUAAACGAUGUCAACUGGUUGUUGGGUCUUAACUGACUCAGUAACGAAGCUAACGCGUGAAGUUGACCGCCUGGGGAGUACGGCCGCAAGGUUGAAAC
rnacentral:rRNA from 1 species